ensembl:snRNA U4 U4 spliceosomal RNA
AGCUUUGCGCAGUGGCAGUAUCGUAGCCCAUGAGGUUUAUCCGAGGCGCGAUUAUUGCUAGUUGAAAACUUUACCCAAUACCCCGUCAUGACGACUUGAAAUAUAGUCGGCAUUGGCAAUUUUUGACGGUCUCCAAGGAGA